CUACCAAAAGUUGAUUUUUGGAGGCAAGGGUUUUUUCAUAACCUUUACCAAUAUGGGCUGUUUGGGAGAAUAAAGUGGACUAUAUA
rnacentral:snoRNA from 1 species